UUGGCUUCAAUCAUAGUAUAGUGAUGGCUUGCACUGCUAAUACUUGAGUAGGUGUUUGUCCAUUUCGUUGAAGCCGAUAUUAUUGUUCCCCUCGCUAUCCGGUGCUUCAUCGAUGUUGUAAUCGGACGUCGGGGAACUACAGUU
rfam:Punica granatum cultivar Dabenzi scaffold223, whole genome shotgun sequence.